GACGAACGCUGGCGGCGUGCCUAAUACAUGCAAGUCGAGCGGACUGAUUAAGAGCUUGCUCUUAUGACGUUAGCGGCGGACGGGUGAGUAACACGUGGGCAACCUGCCCUGUAGAUCGGGAUAACACCGAGAAAUCGGUGCUAAUACCGGGUAAUAUCUGAGAUCACAUGAUCUUAGGUUAAAAGAUGGCUCCGGCUAUCACUACAGGAUGGGCCCGCGGCGCAUUAGCGAGUUGGUAAGGUAAUGGCUUACCAAGGCGACGAUGCGUAGCCGACCUGAGAGGGUGAGCGGCCACACUGGGACUGAGACACGGCCCAGACUCCGACGGGAGGCAGCAGUAGGGAAUCUUCCGCAAUGGACGAAAGUCUGACGGAGCAACGCCGCGUGAGUGAUGAAGGGGUUCGGCUCGUAAAGCUCUGUUGUUGGGGAAGAAACAGUACCGAACGAACUAGGUCGGUACCUUGACGGUACCUAACCAGAAAGCCACGGCUAACUACGUG
rnacentral:rRNA from 1 species